rnacentral:lncRNA from 1 species
GGUGGAGGUCAUAGUGGACAAGGUCGCGGUGAGAAUGCGUCCUAUUUUAUGAAUUUCCCUUCUUAAAAAAAAGGAAAGACCUCAUCCCUUGAUUGUAAAGAUUUUAGGAAAAACCACAGUAAUGUGCUUCACUUUUAGUGGCCUUUGAACAGAUUAUAAAGGCAGGGAAUUUAAUGAAUAGAAGCUGUUAUUGCUGCUUAACAUAUUAGGAAGAUAUGUAUUUCGUAAGAAAUCUAAUCA